UCAGAGGCCGAGGAGACAAAAAUUUGACUUUAAUUGGGAAGUAAUCUAAUUUUGUUACUAUCAAUUGAUUAAGCUAUUCACUUUCUGUACAAUAGAAUAUUAUUAAACCUGGACAGCUUUUGGGGAAACACUUGUGACCUUCUUUCGUUGUGUUAAGCAACGGAAGAAGAGUAGCCAGCAGUUAACUUACUCUUAUCUGCGUCGGUAGACCUACUCUGUCUGGGGUGGAAAGGGCAACGAGUGGCAAUUUUACAGCCAGACCCUCUACUACGUCAUCCACAAGUGUUGUCGCCACUGGUGCAUCAAGACCCUCAACGUCACCUACAAAUGCGACCAUCACCUCCACCGGUGGAGUGAGACCCUCUACAACAUCAUCCACGAGUAUGACCACCACUGGUGCAGCCAUGGAAGAUGAUGAAAUGGAGGAAGCACCUCUGGAUCUAGGACCACCUGAGAUUAUUAUGAACCUCGCGGAAGUGACCACUGAGGACCUUGUUGAACAGGAUGUGGCCGUGGAGAGAAACAGAGAAACUAAAAGGAACAACGUCACACUAGGCGUCAUCGGAGGUACCAGCCCCCGGAUCCACUCAACUCAUUUCAGCAGAGGCUCUCCUCCAAGCCGUCGAGAGAGAUGCAGCCCAACCUGAUGCUCACAGGAAGGAGGAUGAAGAGACCCUCUUUGCCAUGAGCCUGGUGCCAACACUGAAGAGGCUUCCUCAGCAAAGAAAAGCAGCAGUCAAAGUUAAAAUAUAUCAGCUGCUUUUCGAAGCCGAGUUCAAUGAAAUGGAGUCAAUUUAGCUGACCAGCUCACAGGAAGGACAGGAAGAGGAGAGGAGUUGUCUGGUUGUUGUUUUGACCUCCCUCAUUGUACCUUUGUUUUCACACACGUCAGGUCUGUUUAAAUUCAGUCAAUUCAUAAAGUAAUUUGUUUAUAAAUUCUUAGGAUAGCAUUCAUUAUUAGUGUUAAAUAGAUUUCUGAAUUGAAACUCAUACAGUUUUCACAGAUGCUCUUCGUCUCUUACGAGAUUAAAGGUCAAUAUAUUUAUUUAAUUCAAAACCACUUGAAAACCAGGGUGAUGAAACUUUUUGUGAAGUUAUAUUCCAUCAACUGGUCCGUGACGUCCAGGGGCCAUUUGUUUGUUUAGCAGUGUUAUGGCUACAUAUUAUUUCUUUUUUUUUUCAGAGACAGAGACACACACACACACCUCUUCGUACCUCAGAUCUCCAGUGCCCUGCCCUCUCUCUCUUUAUGG